CAAGUCGUACGAGAAAGUAGCAAUAUGAGUAAAGUGGCGCACGGGUGAGUAAUAAUUGGAUAAUGCGCCUCUUCGCUGGGGAUAACCAGGCGAAAGCUUGGCUAAUACCGAAUAGUCCGGUCCGUUCUUCGGAUCAGAUCGGUAAAGCUGUAAAGCGCGGAGAGAGUAGUCCAAUUCCCAUUAGCUAGUUGGUAGGGUAACGGCCUACCAAGGCUACGAUGGGUAGCUGGUCUGAGAGGACGAUCAGCCACACUGGAACUGGAACACGGUCCAGACUCCUACGGGAGGCAGCAGUUAGGAAUCUUGCGCAAUGGGGGAAACCCUGACGCAGCAACGCCGCGUGAAGGAUGAAGGCUUUCGGGUUGUAAACUUCUUUUAGCAGGAAAGAACACAAUGACGGUACCUGCAGAAAAAGCACCGGCUAACUCUGUGCCAGCAGCCGCGGUAAUACAGAGGGUGCAAGCGUUAUUCGGAUUUACUGGGCAUAAAGAGCGCGUAGGCGGUUUAAUAAGUCUGAUGUGAAAUCCCUGGACCCAAUCCAGGAAGUGCAUCGGAUACUGUUAGACUAGAGUACAGGAGGGGACAGCGGAAUUCCUGGUGUAGAGGUGAAAUUCGUAGAUAUCAGGAGGAACAACAGCGGCGAAGGCGGCUGUCUGGACUGUCACUGACGCUGAGGCGCGAAAGCGUGGGGAGCAAACAGGAUUAGAUACCCUGGUAGUCCACGCCGUAAACGAUGGAUGCUAGAUGUCGGAAGGUUCUACCCUUUCGGUGUCGUCGCAAAUGCAUUAAGCAUCCCGCCUGGGGAGUACGGUCGCAAGAUUAAAACUCAAAGAAAUUGACGG
rnacentral:rRNA from 1 species